GAGAGAGAGAGAGAGAGAGAGAGAGAGAGAGAGAGGGGGGGGACUGGGAGCAACAUGUUAUAAACAGGCACUUUCCACUCGAGGUAAAAGUAGGAACUAAAACAGGGCCAAUGUGUCAACAGGAUACCCAGGCAGCAGUCUAUCAAAACCCAGGCAGAGAGGAAGAGUAAAGCUGGUGUCGAAAUUGGAGAAGUUGUCCUGGUUUAGUGACCGAGUUUGGCUGAUGAGUACUUCACGUACAUGUACAUGCAUGCUUGACUGCUUGUAAUGGUGGGCAGUUUAAAAUGUCUUUUGAAGUACCCCCCCCCCCCCCUAUUAGCCAUUACAUAACACGAUUAUAAUGUCCAAAAAACUUUAAACCUCAUCGUCCAAAAUCGGAUAUGUUUCCAGACAUCCAGUAAACGGUCUAGUGCAAUCAUUGGGGUUUCUGUCAAAAUCAGAAAGCGGCUCUUUUUCAGAAAAGAUAAGUUUUGGGGCAGAAGUAACAGUUGAGUGUCUGAUGAAUCCGGGAGGAUUUAGCACUGAGCAGUGUAUAUCUCAAUAUCACUGAGCAGGAAUGGGGCCGUAGCCAUAGGAUGAUCAGCCAUAGCAUGAGAGCCAAGUCAGAGAGUGAGUGAACAAGCCAAGCAUAUGUACAUGUACGUCAUGUACAGUAAAACCUGUCAAGGCGACCACUCGGAUAAGGCGACCACUCGGAUAAGGCGACCACUCGGAUAAGGCGACCACCUGUCCUAGAAGACCACUGAAACCAGCACCAAGGAAUGCUAUUUCCAGACAAAUGACCCUGGAUAAGGAGGCCACCUGGUAACAGAGACCAGGUUUUGAAGGUCCCUUGAGCGGUCGUCUAAGACAGGUUUCACUGUACAUUGUGGUGAGAAUAGAGUUAGAAUGCUGCACGGUAUCAAAGAGUACCCGUUUACUGCAGCCAUGCAUCAGUGUGUGAUGGAGACAGUCAUACAGUGACUGACCAAGUCCCAGGGAAAUCUGGAGAGGGGACUAUAGAUUACCGGUGCAAGCAGCAGCUUUCUUCCAGAUGUUGCCCAUUCCGAGGCUGAAGAGACUUUCCCCUAAUUUUCAUUCAGUGAACGGAAAACACGCAUACAUUUUUCCGUGUGUGCGCGCGUGUGUGUGUGUGUGUGUGUGUGUGUGUGUGUGUGUGUGUGUGUGUGUGUGUGUGUGCAGGAAAAGGAAAAUACAGGAAAGUGAGAUGCUCUGUCGCAUCUCGACAUGAUCAGCAAAAGUCACGAGGCUACAGGCCAGUCCAAACUUCCCAAACUGACACCGGCACCACAUGUGCCAAGGAAGGGAGAUGCGGUCUCUGGCCACAAUCCUCAUACAGCGUUCUGUAGUCAUCAAUCCAGACCUGCAUUAUACAUGUACUAUACUCUAUAGAUCAUCAAUCAUUAUCCUGUUAGCUGGAGCAGGACAUAGAAUGCCAGCAGUGCAGUGACUUUGCAAAGUUUAAUUCCCAUGGGCUGGUGCAAUGGCUCCUCAGGUUAUUACAGGCACGAUCAGCAUUAGCAAUCGAUCAAGAGUAACUGCUCCUCCACGAGGGAGACGAGUAUGAGCGGUGCAGCUAGUGGUUUGUGCAAGUGUAGGACAGCUUUGUACAACAGUGACAGGUGGCUGGCACAUGCCAGGGGAAACACUGCUAGUACCACUGACUUGGAUUGGAAAAUUGGCAAUCAAAUUUCAUCAUUACAUCUGCGGGGCACGCAUGGCAGUGAAUAGCCCCGGACCAUCUGGCAUGUAUUUUACAGCCUUUUUAACAAACAGGUAGACUGAGAGUGAGGCAAUGAUGCUCAUAAUAGAAGUCAAGACUUCCUACAGUGUGAUAACCUCAAAAACGUACUGCUA